rnacentral:lncRNA from 1 species
GAGGUGUGAUUUCACCACUUCUGGGGAUUUUAUUUCAAAUUUUGAUGGUGAAGGCGUGUUGUUCUUAUGCCUGUAUUAGUUGGCUUUGUGUAAUAAAUUAGUUAUUUUUGCUGGAGUAGUUUGAGCAUCACUUGCAGUUUGAUUCCUGCACUUAUAUCUAAUAUCUUGAACAAUUUUCUUUUAUAGCUUUAUGAUAGAUUUCUUAGUGAGUCCAUUAUAAAUGCGGUUAAGAGUAAAGAAAAUAUUUAAUGCUUUUUGUAAAGUGGUAAAACUUUCGACAUGGUUUUGAUUGACUAAUGGCAUCUCUGUUUGAGCUAUUUGAAUGUUGACUGUUCUUACGAGCUGGUUGUUGAGCCUGAUAAUAUUUUUUUUUUUUACGAGCUGGUUGUUGAGCCUGAUAAUAAGCUAUUUGAAUGUUGACUGUUCUUACGAGCUGGUUGUUGAGCCUGAUAAUAUUUUUUUUUUUUUGACUUUUGUUUCCAAUGGGUGUAUUUGUUAUGGCAGAAGUUAGUUGCAGUAACGUUUCCAGAUUUGUAGCCUUUAUCAUGUCAAGGCACAGUAGGUGCCCUAUUCAAGAUGUGCUCAGACAGGAUUAUGCAAACUCCCUGAAUUUCCUUCAGUUUUUUCGUAUUGUAUAAGUUAGUUACAUUUGUUCCUUGCAG